GCAGAUUGGACUAAACAGCCUAGAGGCGGAAGUCUUGGGUCCCCGGCCCAAGCAUCGUUUGAUGUCCCCACCCCAGGAGGAACGCUAGGGAGGGGGAGGGGCUGGGCUCCCUCCCUCCCCUUCCCGCCUCCCAAGAUAGACGACCCCCGCCCGACCCCCACCCUCGGGUCCAGCCGGGACGCUGACCCCACCCCAGAUUCCGGAGGGUCCGCCCCACCCCUACCUGUGGGCCCCGCGGAGGCUCCUCCCCUCGGUCACGGCCAAAGCCACGUCCUCCCAACUCCUUCCUGGGACCGCCCGAGCGCUGCGUGCGCAACCGCAGCCGGGGCCUCCUCCGGCCCCGGCGGCCGCGGCGGUGCUGCCCUCUGGCGCCCCCUCGUGGAGGAAAGAAGGAAGGGUAGGCCCGACUGUGUGGGGAGCCCUGGGCCUAAGUGGGCCGCGAGAGCCCCUGCCUUCGAGGAGCUUAAAUUCCAACGGAGAGGCACCACGCACGCUACAGGGUACAAGCAUAUUCGAGUGAAAGCUCAUCUGUCCUUGAUCUUCCUGUCAUUAACCAAUACCCCCUCUGCCCAGACUUCAUGAAAAUGAAAGCUGGGAGAUGGAGACUCAAAGAAAAGGUAAGGGAUAAGAAGCAAGAUACAUUCAUCUAACUUAAGUACCUGCUGUGUUUGGGUGCCCAUCAGUGGAGGGAGUUUCACAGAGUUCAUGACCAGGGUCUUUUAGGGCAGGGAAAAAAGGGAAGGCAGGGUCGCUUUGCGAAAUGUUAUCUAAGCUCCUGGAAUUUAAAAUGAUGCCACCAAGAAAAGGGCCUAUUCCUGUGGUAUCGUGGUAGAGAACCUGUCUCAAAGCCAGGAAGUCCUGCCUUUGACAUAUAGUAACUGUGUGAUCCUGAGCAAACAACUUUCCAAGACUAUGAAUUCCAAAGAAAGUGCAAACCUGAAUAGAUAGAAGGAUUUUCUACAUUUGGGUGUUCCCUAUACCAAUGAAAUUCAUCCAGUCCCUAUCCUGUAAUAUUCACCCUUAGUUAAACAGAGCCCGUGUAAUGUUAAAAUGGGGAUUUCUUCUGGACUUCUUCCCCCUGACAUGAUGUGUUUCUGCUUUCAGUAUGUACUCCCCCA
rnacentral:lncRNA from 1 species